rnacentral:lncRNA from 1 species
CAAGGGUCUCAUCCGCGACGAAGGGCUUUAACGCUCAGGGUCAGCAACCUCUGAGAGCUCUUGGGGACUUGCGCGCCCUUGGAUGCUCUUGCGUUCAACAGGGCUAGGAGACUACCGGCUGGGGCGAGGAAUGCAGGCGCCUAGAGCCUUGGAGCUCCUGAAACGUUCCUGCCGCCUCCGGAAAGCAAGGGCAGUUUACCGAAGUGACUGAGGCCAAGUAUUUGCAGCACGGGCAGGGACCAGUAACUGAUUUUCAGGCCUUUUGAGAGGAAGAGGAAGAGAGAGGAAGAGAAGGAUUUCUAAUAGUAGAUAUUCACUGUCAUGGACUCUUUAGGAAACAGCAACAAAGACAAGAUUAAGUAAGUUGAUAUUUGUAAAAUGCUGACAACAGUGCACAUAGUAAACACUGGAUAUGUGUU